GACGAACGCUGGCGGCGUGCUUAACACAUGCAAGUCGAACGGAAAGGCCCUGCUUGCAGGGUACUCGAGUGGCGAACGGGUGAGUAACACGUGGGUGAUCUGCCCUGCACUUCGGGAUAAGCCUGGGAAACUGGGUCCAAUACCGGAUAGGAGCCAUUUUCAGUGUGAUGGUUGGAAAGUUUUUUCGGUGUAGGAUGAGCUCGCGGCCUAUCAGCUUGUUGGUGGGGUAAUGGCCUACCAAGGCGGCGACGGGUAGCCGGCCUGAGAGGGUGGACGGCCACAUUGGGACUGAGAUACGGCCCAGACUCCUACGGGAGGCAGCAGUGGGGAAUAUUGCACAAUGGGCGCAAGCCUGAUGCAGCGACGCCGCGUGGGGGAGGACGGCCUUCGGGUUGUAAACUCCUUUCGCUAGGGACGAAGCUUUUUGUGACGGUACCUAGAUAAGAAGCACCGGCUAACUACGUG
rnacentral:rRNA from 1 species